ensembl:lncRNA
AAUAGCCGUAAGGGACCACAUUUAGCAAGUGGUCACAUGAUGUCUCCCGCAGAAAAUCUUGUGUAAAGUACUGAGGUAGCCAUUUUUCCAAUCGCUUCUUAUGAGAAACCAAUUGUCUCGACGGAUAUAUUAUCGAAUAGAUAUGUUAAAAACACCUUGAGGAUUGAUUCUAAACAACGUUUGCCAUGUUUCUGUCGAUAUUAUGGAGCUAAUUUGGAAAAAAGUUUGGUGUUGUAGUGACUGCAUUUUCCGGUCGAUUUCUCAGCCAAAUGUGACGCACAAACGGGAGCUAUUUCGCCUACAAAAAGAAUCUUUUGGGAAAAAAGGAACAUUUGUUAUCUAACUGGGAGUCUCCUGAGUGAAAACAUCCGAAGUUCAUCAAAGAUCAAAGACGCAUGGGAGUGGUCGGUUAUAGACAUCAGAUGGCCGCUACCCUUGACAUUGAACAGACACCAGCACGUUCUGACCUUGACAGACUUUUACUCCAAAUGGGUGGAGGCCUUCCCCCUGAGAGGUUGUAGCUCUACUGAGGUAGCGCAGCAUGUAGCUGAAGUCAUCUCUCACUUUGGCUUCCCUUUUGGAAUUCACUAAUGUUCUUGUGGCUGAAUGGAAGCAAGUCCCUGCAGAAAUGUUCCAACAUUAGUCCGAAGCCUUCCCAGGAGAGUGGAGGCUGUUAUAGCAGCAAAGAGGGACCAACUCCAUAUUAAUGCCCAUGAUUUUGGAAGGAAAUGUUUGAUGAGCCGGUGUCCACAUACUGUUGGUCAUGUACUUCUGCAAGAUCAACGUUGCUUUGAAGAGUCAUCUAAAGCUGAGUGGGUUCUCUCUCUGAUACCGUCAUCGGCAAGUUGGAUCACUGGAUCUGACCACACAGACCCUGAUCAGCAGGAUGGUGUCUGAUCGUGUGAAGGACCAUCCAUACAACUGGGAUGUCUGCCUCCCUGCAAAGGUGUUCGGCCUGUGUUUCAAGGAGCACCCCAAGACCAAGCAGAGACCUUUCUCUCUGCUGUGCUGCAAAGGACCUCAGCCGGUCACCACCCCUAGGGAUCUGUCUUUCAGUCCUGCAGAGCUCAGAGAGAGUUCCUUUGCAAUCCAGUCAAAUCAAGAGGGUGGUCAUGACACUGAUCCGCAAGGCAUGGUUGGCACUGAAUCUGGGAAGGAAACGGCUGGAAAGAGCACAGUUACAAGGGUCUCCUUUUUUAGGAGCAAAACAGAGUAACACGGACGGUAACACCAUCAGUGACACAGACGGUAACCCCAACAGUGAACCAUCCUCUGAAGAUCAUCAUGGAUCAUGGAAACCUGAAUCAUUUAUUGGAUCAGUGCUCUAUCAGUCAUGCUGCCAUGUUUUUGGGGAGUAGGUUAUUUUGGUUUUCUAAGGUGUGAUCAUUUUGUUGAAAAACACUUUGGUUCAAUGUUUGGCUGGUGUACUGUUUCAAGAUUAUUAGCAGAGACAUCAGUGGGUCAGGAAUUGAUGUACCACCUGCAUCAAUUCAAUCAGCCAAAACAUCAUACAUAGAUUGAUUAAUGAUAAGGUUAUCCCUAAAAGCAAUUGCUUUAUUUUGAAAUCAAGUUGUAUUUGUCAAGUGCUGAAUUCAACAGGUGUAGGGUGUACUGUUAAAUGCUUACUUAAGAAAGGAAACGAUAACAAUAAAAUAACAACAACCAGGCUCUAUACAAGGAGUAACAGUACUGAGUUCAAUGUGUAGGGUACGUGGUAGUUGAGGUAAUAUUUAGGGGUAAAAAUGACUAGGCAAUAAGGAUAGAUCAUUAACAGAGUGGCAGCUGUGUGUGUGUGUGUGUGUGUGUGUGUGUGUGUGUGUGUGUGUGUGU